UACAUGGGGUGCAAACGUUGCUCGGAAUUAUUGGGCGUAAAGCGCGCGUAGGCGGUUACUUAAGUCGGAUGUGAAAGCCCUCGGCUUAACUGAGGAAGUGCACCCGAAACUGAGUAGCUGGAGUACGAAAGAGGGUCGCGGAAUUCCCGGUGUAGAGGUGAAAUUCGUAGAUAUCGGGAGGAACACCGGUGGCGAAGGCGGCGACCUGGGUCGAGACUGACGCGGAGGCGCGAAAGCGUGGGGAGCGAACAGG
rnacentral:rRNA from 1 species